CCCUCUUUCUUCGCCAACGUUGCUGCUCCGUUGAGUCCGUUCAACUCCUGCGCCGCCGCCGUCUUGCAUUGUUACUCUGCGUCUCUACUCUUCUUUUCACCUGCGUCUCUCACCUCUUCGGCCAUUUCUCCCUUAUCCCUGUUUUAACUCAACUCCUAUUGAAAAUAAUAAUGAGAUAGAACCAACUCAAGGUGAUGAGGGUCAACCAAUUGAAGCACAACUCCAAGAAACACAAGAGGAAGGACAAGAAGAAACAUAAGAGGGAGGACAAGAAGUUAGCCAAAGCAUGCAAUAAUGUUUUGUAGUUUGUAUUUUAAUUUUUUUUUACUAUAAUUUUCAUAUAAAUGC